UUUGUUUUGGAAGGAACCUCUGGAAAUCAUCCAGUCCAACCCCCUGCCAAGGCAGGAUCACCUGAAGCAGGUGGCACAGGAACGUGUCCGGCCCUGUGUGAGUAGACACACAGAGGACAUUUUGAAGGGAAAAGAAAGCAGUCAGGAAAGAAGUUCAAUUAUUUAUGGUGAGCAGAUGGAUUUAGCAAGCCUGCCUGCUGAGACAGAAGCAUGACUGUGCAAAUCAGGUUGUACUGAUACUUACAUCCAUUUUCUGAGGCAGAUCCUUCACUCCAUAUAUAUGAUUUAUUCAUGCUUAAGCUUUCUUGGCCCUCAGUAAGAAUUUUUCCUGUAACAGCAUUACAGAGCAACUGAGACCCCAUGGAAAAAGAAAGAUACGACUCUGACAAACAUAAAGCCCUUGUGAACAUUUUGCAACAGCUAGUAAGAUUUUGUUGGGAAAAGGAUUAACACUUAUUUUAAACAAAAGAGGUAUGGACCUCUAUAUUUGUCUCUUGUUUAUUGUUUCUUGUGGGGCAAGCCACAACAAACAAAUGACUUUGAAUAAUGAAUGUAAUUGCUAUUGUAAAACUGUGUUAUAAAAUCAUGUAUUUCAUGCCUCUUAAGGCCUUGUAUGUUGUCAGUUUGAGUCUUGAUUCACUUGGUUCUCUGUCUUUUGCAAAAUUUUGUGUUUCCUAAUAUCAACCACCAAGUUCACGCUAAGAAUUACCCAGGAAAACCAGCUACUUUCUGCUAUUCUGAAAUGAAUUAUAUAUGUAAUUUUAGGCACAGGCUCAGGUUUAAACAUAAAAUUCAAAAUUACUUUCAUCCUUCCAAAUUUUUUUCAAAAUACUAGAGUUGCAUAGAAUUAGGGGACUGUGAUACAGGCAUUCUGCAGCAUGCAAUAAAAUCUAAUAUUUAUCUGUUUCUGCCACAU